GACGAACGCUGGCGGCGUGCCUAAUACAUGCAAGUAGAACGCUGAAGGAGGAGCUUGCUCUUCUGGAUGAGUUGCGAACGGGUGAGUAACGCGUAGGUAACCUGCCUGGUAGCGGGGGAUAACUAUUGGAAACGAUAGCUAAUACCGCAUAACAGUAGAUGUUGCAUGACAUUUGCUUAAAAGGUGCAAUUGCACCACUACCAGAUGGACCUGCGUUGUAUUUGCUAGUUGGUGGGGUAACGGCUCACCAAGGCGACGAUACAUAGCCGACCGGAGAGGGUGAUCGGCCACACUGGGACUGAGACACGGCCCAGACUCCUACGGGAGGCAGCAGUAGGGAAUCUUCGGCAAUUGACGGAAGUCUGACCGAGCAACGCCGCGUGAGUGAAGAAGGUUUUCGGAUCGUAAAGCUCUGUUGUAAGAGAAGAACGAGUGUGAGAGUGGAAAGUUCACACUGUGACGGUAUCUUACCAGAAAGGGGCGGCUAACUACGUG
rnacentral:rRNA from 1 species